UAGGGAAUCUUCGGCAAUGGGGGGAACCCUGACCGAGCAACGCCGCGCGAGUGAAGAAGGUUUUCGGAUCGUAAAGCUCUGUUGUUAAGGAAGAACGAGUGUGAGAAUGGAAAGUUCAUGCUGUGACGGUACUUAACCAGAAAGGGACGGCUAACUACGUGCCAGCAGCCGCGGUAAUACGUAGGUCCCGAGCGUUGUCCGGAUUUAUUGGGCGUAAAGCGAGCGCAGGCGGUUAGAAAAGUCUGAAGUGAAAGGCAGUGGCUCAACCAUUGUAGGCUUUGGAAACUGUUUAACUUGAGUGCAGAAGGGGAGGGUGGAAUUCCAUGUGUAGCGGUGAAAUGCGUAGAUAUAUGGAGGAACACCGGUGGCGAAAGCGGCUCGCUGGUCUGUAACUGACGCUGAGGCUCGAAAGCGUGGGGAACGAACAGG
rnacentral:rRNA from 1 species